rnacentral:rRNA from 1 species
AGUGAACGCUGGCGGUAUGCCUAACACAUGCAAGUCGAACGGCAGCACAGUAAGAGCUUGCUCUUACGGGUGUCGAGUGUCGGACGGUUGCGUAAUACAUCGGAAUCUACUUUUUCGUGGGUGAUAACGUAGGGAAACUUACUCUAAUACCGCAUACGACCUACUUGUGAAAGCAGGGGAUCUUCUGACCUUGCGCUAUUGAAUGAGCCGAUGUCGGAUUAGCUAGUUGGCGGGGUAAAGGCCCACCAAGGCGACGAUCCGUAGCUGGUCUGAGAGGAUGAGUAGCCAGACUGGAACUGAGACACGGUCCAGACUCCUACGGGAGGAAGCAGCGGGGAAUAUUGGACAAUGGGGGAAAGCCUGAUCCAGCCAUACCGUGUGGGUGAAGAAGGCCUUCGGGUUGUAAAGCCAUUUUGUUGGGAAAGAAAAGCAGCAGGUUAAUCCCCCGCUGUUAUGACGGUACCCAAAGAAUAAGCACCGGCUAACUUCGUG